rnacentral:rRNA from 1 species
AACGCGAAGAACCUUACCUGGUCUUGACAUCCACGGAAUUCGGCAGAGAUGCCUUAGUGCCUUCGGGAACCGUGAGACAGGUGCUGCAUGGCUGUCGUCAGCUCGUGUUGUGAAAUGUUGGGUUAAGUCCCGCAACGAGCGCAACCCUUAUCCUUUGUUGCCAGCGGUCCGGCCGGGAACUCAAAGGAGACUGCCAGUGAUAAACUGGAGGAAGGUGGGGAUGACGUCAAGUCAUCAUGGCCCUUACGACCAGGGCUACACACGUGCUACAAUGGCGCAUACAAAGAGAAGCGACCUCGCGAGAGCAAGCGGACCUCAUAAAGUGCGUCUAGUCCGGAUUGGAGUCUGCAACUCGACUCCAUGAAGUCGGAAUCGCUAGUAAUCGUG